rnacentral:piRNA from 2 species
UGCCCUGAGCAUGUUGAUCUCUUUG